rnacentral:rRNA from 1 species
CCUACGGGUGGCAGCAGUGGGGAAUAUUGCACAAUAGGGGAAACCCUGAUGCAGCGACGCCGCGUGAAGGAAGAAGGUUUUCGGAUCGUAAACUUCUAUCAGCAGGGAAGAAGAAAGUGACAGUACCUGACUAAGAAGCCCCGGCUAACUACGUGCCAGCAGCCGCGGUAAUACGUAGGGGGCAAGCGUUAUCCGGAAUCACUGGGUGUAAAGGGUGCGCAGGCGGUAGGGCAAGUCAGAUGUGAAAGCCCGGGGCUCAACCCCGGGAUUGCAUUUGAAACUGUCUUACUAGAGUGCAGGAGAGGAAAGCGGAAUGCCGAGUGUAGCGGUGAAAUGGGUAGAUAUUGGGAGGAACACCAGUUGCGAAGGCGGCUCGCUGGACUGGAACUGACGCUGAGGCACGAAAGCGUGGGGAGCGAACAGGAUUAGAUACCCGAGUAGUC